UUAGCAUCUUCACAGUUGGAAAAGAUGACCACACUCACUACAGCAACUAUUCCCACACCAGUGGAGAAGGAGGCAUUUCAGAGGGCUGAGCCACUGUGGAACUGAAGAGAGCAAGCAACAAGACUUGAGUGAACCAUUAGCCACAAAUGCAGAAAACAUUGAACAUGGUGAACCUUCUCAGGAGUCGUCAGCCAAGAAAAAUUAGCAACAGCACAGUGAAAACUCAUGUAGGAGGUCACAAAUGAACCCUGACAAGAGCUAAAGAACUGCAGGACUCCCUUGCCUCAGUUAAGUGACCCAAUGAUUAAGAUCAUCGCCUGCCACCAUGGGGACCUAGGUUAAACACCCUGACCGGACCAUCCACCAACAUCUCCCGG